rnacentral:tRNA from 1 species
GCGGCAAUAGCUCAGUUGGUAGAGCAUCCCGACUUCACGUCGGGAGGCUCGCGAGUUCGAAUCUCGUUUGCCGCU